rnacentral:sRNA from 1 species
AGUGUUAACAUGAUGUCUUCAGUAGAGUUUUCUAUUUUCUGGAUUAAUGAAGACCAACAGCUUAUCCUUUAGAAUAAGCUCUAUUUGAAAAAGUUUGGCUCUCUAUACUUCUGUAUGGUUCUGUUUGCAUACUGUUUAUGCUGUAAGUAUAAGAAAUGCUGGCAAAGAACAUUAUUGUUUUAACUUGUACUAUAAUGUGAACCACUUCUAACUCAUAAUCUUAUUUUGUACUGUGUGAUGUCUGAUACUGCUAACAUCGAUCUUUGGGCUUUGGUGAACUCUGAUCUUCCCAGGUUUUCAAGGUCUACCAGGUCCAGAAGGUUCUCCGGGUCUCCCUGGAAAUGGAGCUAUUAAAGGAGAGAAGGGAAAUCCAGGCCAACCU